rnacentral:rRNA from 1 species
UACAGAGGGUGCAAGCGUUAAUCGGAAUUACUGGGCGUAAAGAGCGUGUAGGCGGCCAAACAGGUCAGCUGUGAAAACUCGAGGCUCAACCUCGAGACGUCGGUUGAAACCGUUUGGCUAGAGUCCGGAAGAGGAGAGUGGAAUUCCCGGUGUAGCGGUGAAAUGCGCAGAUAUCGGGAAGAACACCCGUGGCGAAGGCGGCUCUCUGGGACGGUACUGACGCUGAGACGCGAAAGCGUGGGGAGCGAACAGG